rnacentral:rRNA from 1 species
UACGUAGGGUGCGAGCGUUGUCCGGAAUUAUUGGGCGUAAAGAGCUCGUAGGCGGUUUGUUGCGUCGGCCGUGAAAACCUGCAGCUUAACUGUGGGCCUGCGGCCGAUACGGGCAGACUUGAGUUCGGUAGGGGAGACUGGAAUUCCUGGUGUAGCGGUGAAAUACGCAGAUAUCAGGAGGAACACCGGUGGCGAAGGCGGGUCUCUGGGCCGAUACUGACGCUGAGGAGCGAAAGCGUGGGGAGCGAACAGG